rnacentral:rRNA from 1 species
AGAGUUUGAUCCUGGCUCAGGAUGAACGCUAGCUACAGGCUUAACACAUGCAAGUCGAGGGGAAACGACAUCGAAAGCUUGCUUUUGAUGGGCGUCGACCGGCGCACGGGUGAGUAACGCGUAUCCAACCUGCCCAUCACUUGGGGAUAACCUUGCGAAAGUAAGACUAAUACCCAAUGACGUCUCUAGAAGACAUCUGAAAGAGAUUAAAGAUUAUCGGUGAUGGAUGGGGAUGCGUCUGAUUAGCUUGUUGGCGGGGUAACGGCCACCAAGGCGACGAUCAGUAGGGGUUCUGAGAGGAAGGUCCCCACAUUGGAACUGAGACACGGUCCCAAACUCCGUACGGGAGCGA